ACGGCUCACUUAUUGAAAUUCCUCACCUUGAAGGGUUGGGCCUAAUCAGACUAUAAAAGAGCAAUCAAGAAAAAUGAACACAUUCUGGGGCAGGAGCACCACCACAAUUAAUCUGACAGUCUCCACAGUCUAUUCAAAGACAAAACUGACCAUAAUACCCUCAAACAGAAGAUUUCUACAGACAACUGGAAGACAAACUCAUCUCAACACAUCAAAAAGAAGAUGUCUACAGUCUGUUCAAAGUCCAAACUGACCUCAACACUGUCAAAGUUCAGAUUUUCACCUCGGUGGCUCCUGCCCCAGGAUCAGAUCUGGCUGAUGAAGGACAGAAGAAAGCAAGCUGAGAUCAAACGACAGCGAGAUUUCAGACGACUGAUGGAGGUUUCGCAGGAUGAAGAUGAGCUGUGGAUAAACAGAGAUAAAAAGGGCAUCAUCAGGAUUAUUAAGUUGAAUGUCAGGAUGAUAUAUCUUAAAACAGUAGUUAAUCGGAUUUAUUUAAAUUGUCCUCCUUAUUUAAAUAAUUAUAAUUUUUUUCU